UACGUAGGGGGCAAGCGUUGUCCGGAUUUAUUGGGCGUAAAGAGCGUGUAGGCGGCCGUACAGGUCAGCUGUGAAAACUCGAGGCUCAACCUCGAGACGUCGGUUGAAACCACAUGGCUAGAGUCCGGAAGAGGAGAGUGGAAUUCCUGGUGUAGCGGUGAAAUGCGCAGAUAUCAGGAAGAACACCAAUGGCGAAGGCAGCUCUCUGGGACGGUACUGACACUGAGACGCGAAAGCGUGGGGAGCGAACAGG
rnacentral:rRNA from 1 species